rnacentral:rRNA from 1 species
CCACGCGUCGCGCGGCCGUCGGGGUUCGACGACGGCGGCCGCCUACUCCAAUCUUGCUGCGCGGUGCUCUUCACCGAGUGCCGUCGGCGGGCCGACACGUUUACUUUGAACAAAUUAGAGUGCUCAAAGCAGGCUCAAAUCUGGCGGGGCGGCUUCACGGCCGUCUCGUCAAAAGGCCCUGAAUACUGGUCGCAUGGAAUAAUGGAACAAGACCUCGGUCCCGCGCAUCUCCGCCCUUCGCGGGCGCGCGAAAUCGCCCUCCGGGGCGUUUCCGUGCGCGGGCCGCCGGGCCGCGGGCGCCAGUCGCCCGCGCGUCCCGCCGGGCCGGUUUUCGGGACCGGAGGUAAUGAUCAACAGAGACGGGCGGGGGCAUUCGUACCGAGACGUUAGAGGUGAAAUUCUUGGAUCGUCUCGAGACGAACUGACGCGAAAGCAUUUGCCAAGUACGUUCUCGUAUGAUCAAGAACGAAAGUUAGAGGUUCGAAGGCGAUCAGAUACCGCCCUAGUUCUAACUGUAAACGAUGCCAGCUAGCGAUCCGCCGGCGUUUCAUUAACGACCCGGCGGGCAGCUUCCGGGAAACCGAAGCUUUUCGGUUCCGGGGGAAGUAUGAUUGCAAAGUUGAAACUUAAAGGAAUUGACGGAAGGGCACCACCAGGAGUGGAGCCUGCGGCUUAAUUUGACUCAACACGGGAAACCUCACCAGGCCCGGACACCGGAAAGAUUGACAGAUUGAGAGCUCUUUCUUGAUUCGGUGGGUGGUGGUGCAUGGCCGUUCUUAGUUGGUGGAGCGAUCUGUCUGGUUAAUUCCGAUAACGAACGAGACUCUGUCCUGCUAACUAGGCGGGUAAACCCGGGUCGGCGGUGGGCGCGGCGCGGGCGGUUUCGGCCGUCCGUGUUCGCGUCUCCGUCGGCUCGGCCCGGUAUCCCCGAACGCGUUCGCCCGUCGUCCACGGCGGUCGUCGGGCGCGGCCGCGCCAACCGCGUCCCGGCGUGCGGCGGGCGUGUGUCGGCCGGGGGGCAACCUCCGGUCGGCGCGCGUCAGUCGUGCGUCGGGCUCCGCGGUGAAGCGCGCCGUGUUCGCGGCCGUCGCCGGCGGAUCACGAUACGUUACUAGGGCUACCGCCGGCUCCCAGGAGCUUAAACUCUUCUUAGAGGGACAGGCGGCGGACGAAAAUAGCCGCACGAGACUGAGCGAUAACAGGUCUGUGAUGCCCUUAGAUGUUCUGGGCCGCACGCGCGCUACACUGAAGGAAUCAGCGUGUGUUAACAUUCCUGGGCCGACAGGCUUCCGGGUAACCCGCUGAACCUCCUUCGUGCUUAGGGAUCGUGGCUUGCAAUUUUUCCACGUGAACGAGGAAUUCCCAGUAAGCGCGAGUCAUCAGCUCGCGUUGAUUACGUCCCUGCCCUUUGUACACACCGCCCGUCGCUACUACCGAUUGAACGACCGCAGUGAGGUCUUCGGACUGGACGCGCGUUAUUCGGCCCCCUCGGGGGCUGGGUCGUCGCGCGACCGGGAAGAUGACCGAACUCGGCCGUUUAGAGGAAGUAAAAGUCGUAACAAGGUUUCCGUAGGUGAACCUGCGGAAG